GUAAAUGUGCAGCCAUCCCGCGUCCCCGCGCUGCCGCAGCCCCUCACUCGGGGCCCUCAAAGAGCACGCUUAUAAAAACAUUCUUCCCGUGAUGGAGUGCUUCCUUUGGGCUUCUUCGGCUUGUAACAGAUUAAAGGCGAACAGGCAUUUGUCAUGGGGAAGUGUACCCAGUUGUGCUGGAAAAUGGACUUUUCGAUGAGCGUGAGAGCUUGAACCUGUCACAGAGGGGAGAGCCUGUGUUAUUGCAGCCUGCCGGGCCGCGGUGGCCGCUGCGGCUUAUCGGCUGUGGCAGGCAUCACCUACGACUGCAAGGAUCCCAUUACGGAGGCCCUGAAGAGACUGAAUGGGAGAGUGUGACUGCUCCCUGCAAAUCCUCCCCAUGUCUGGACUGAGGAAAUAGCUCGAAGCACCAUCCGUCUCCUGGUGGAGCAGCAGCAGCGUCCAGAGGCUGGGGGCUGAGGCUCCUUGUUUCCAACAAGCUCCUAGGUGAUGGAUGCUGCUGGCAGGUGCACCACACUGAGUUGCAAGACUCGUCCCUCCAGGCACCCCCUUCACAGGUUCAGCAUCCUCGCUGCCAUCUCCUCACAAAUGCGGCCUCUGAAGACAUACCCAUUCCUUUUCUUCUGAGCCCGCAGAAGACAACCCUGCCUAGCUUCUUUGCAGCUACGUGGAGACAUGUGACUAGUUUGGCCAAUGGGAUGUGAGAAGAGAUGAUGAAACUCGGAGGAGAACUUGUGAGAUCGCCGUGACUGCUUUUCCCCUGCCACAGUGGCUAAGAGGAUAAGGCUAUCAAGGGUGGAGCCUCUCUAGGCCUGGGUUCCUGGGUGCCUGUGUGGAGCCGAGACCCCAGGCUAACUCACAAUGAACACGCCGUGUGAGGAAGACGUAAAGCUUUAUGUAUUAAGCCACUGGAGCUUAGGGUUUAAUUUGUUACUGUGGUGUAGCCUACCCUAUUCUAACCAAUACAAGGAUCUUUGGAUGACUCUCCUCCAGGAAUUCAUAUACAAAAACAUCCUCCCUGCAUGAGAACUCCCUAUAUGGUUCCAGCAGUAUCUCUCACCUGCAAUAGUGACUAAAGUCAAGACUCUCUGCUGGCUAUUUCGUUUCUACUGAACUAGGUAUUGUAUUUGCUCUGUUAUUACCUUGCUGCCCUGACAAUCCUACAAUCCACACAGCAGCCAAAGCGAUCUUUUGAAAAGAAUGCAAAAUCAAAUCAGAUCAUGCCAUUCUCUUGCUUAAAGCCGGCCGAUUCACCAUCCCUGCAAACCAUGAUACUCAGAAUCAAAUGCAGAUUCCUUGCUAUGGCUUAAAGACUCUCUGCUUCUCUGACCUCAUCUCCUAUGGUGCUGCAGCUACAUUUGUUCCUACUUCAGUCUUUGUACCUGGCUGUUCCCUCUGCCUGGCUUGCUCUUCUUCCCUCUUGUUAUUUAGAGCUCAGCUUAAAUGUCAACUCAAGGGUAUCUUCCCUGACCAUUGCAACUAAAAUGCCCCUCACUCACACAUGUGUCAUUCCAUUGUACCACUCUGAUUAAUGUCUUUAUAACACUGAUCAACAUCUGAAAGUAUUUUGCUUAAUUAUUUACUUACUCAUUUUUUUCUCCUUUUUCCCCACUAGAAUAUAAAUUUGAGCAGGACAUGGACCUUUUCAAUCUUGCCUACCCUCAUAUCCCAGUAACAAGUGGCUAGCAGAGUACCUGACACAUCAUGGAUGCUCAAAAAAUAUUUCUUGACUAACUGGAUGAAUAAAUGAGUGAAUCAUCAUCAGGAUUGCUGCUCGUGAACCCCUCCUCUUGCAGCUACCUGCCUUUGAAUUUGCCCUCAGGCUUCCUAGCUAGUUUCUUCUUUAGCCUUUCUGACCCAUCGUUCCUUCCGUAGAGUUCAAGACAACACUGCUCCUCCUAUGAACCAAAAGAAAGUGCCAGCGGCUGUUGGUGACGAAGCUCUUCUUUUCUAGGCAAUAAAGCCCCCUCCAGUUGUAGCAGUUUUCUCUGGAAUGGUAAGUCCCUCAGAUCUGGGAGUUAAUUGUUACUGUGGCAGAGGCCAGGCCACCCUGACUGAUAGAAGACCUUUUGGGAGAUUCUUCUUUCCCUGGAUGAGGUUGUACCCUGUUUAUGUUGGAUAAACAACUCAAAACCAGUAGCAUAGAAUGUUAGUGCCAGAGGGGAACUGAGAGACUAACAUGUUUUCCUUUUGCAAAUGAGGAAACUGAGGCAGAGAGAAGGGAGGGAAAUUGAUUAAGGCCUUUGGCUUAUUGGUUCAUUCCUUUGAUCGCUGUGAUGGAUGUUUCCCUGUCUUUUUAACCCCCCUGGCUUGUGUACCCUGUUCCAAGGAAUUCUCCAACUCAUGACUCUCCAACUUAUGAUGGGAAACAGAGCCCACCUCCCACUCAAGAAAAAAACAAUGCUUGCAGCACUAUUCUCAAUUGCAAAGACAUGGAAUCAACCCAAAUGCCCAUCAGUGAUAGACUGGAUAAAGAAAAUGUGGUACAUAUACACCAUGGAAUAAUAUGCAGUCAUAAAAAGGAGGAAUGGGAUCACGUCCUUUACAGGGACAUGGAUGAAGCUGGAAGCCAUUAUCCUCAGCAAACUAAUGCAGGAACAGAAAACCAAACAUCACACGUUCUCACUUAUAAGUCGGAGCUGAACAAUGAGAACACAUGGACACAGGGAGGAGAUCAACACACUCUGGGGUCUGUUGGGGGACGGGAAGAAAGCAUCAGGAAAGAUAGCUAAUGCAUGCUAUGCUUAUUACCUAGGUGAUGGGUUGAUAGGUGCAGCAAACCACCAUGGCACACGUUUACCUAUGUAACAAACCUGUGUGUCCU
ensembl:lncRNA novel transcript